rnacentral:piRNA from 1 species
UGAAACCUAGGUGGAGGUUCCCAAACC